AACGAACGCUGGCGGCAUGCCUAACACAUGCAAGUCGAACGAUACCUUCGGGUCUAGUGGCGCACGGGUGCGUAACGCGUGGGAACCUGCCCUUAGGUUCGGAAUAACUCCCCGAAAUGGGUGCUAAUACCGGAUAAUGUCUUCGGACCAAAGAUUUAUCGCCUUUGGAUGGGCCCGCGUUGGAUUAGCUAGUUGGUAGGGUAAAAGCCUACCAAGGCGACGAUCCAUAGCUGGUCUGAGAGGAUGAUCAGCCACACUGGGACUGAGACACGGCCCAGACUCCUACGGGAGGCAGCAGUGGGGAAUAUUGGACAAUGGGCGAAAGCCUGAUCCAGCAAUGCCGCGUGAGUGAUGAAGGCCUUAGGGUUGUAAAGCUCUUUUACCCGGGAUGAUAAUGACAGUACCGGGAGAAUAAGCUCCGGCUAACUCCGUG
rnacentral:rRNA from 1 species